AGACCCGGUGCCACGUACCAUGGGUGCAAAGGGGAGCAGCAUAGGUAAGAUCUGUGCCUUCCGAAGAGGGUAGAGUCUUCUGGAGGGACAUUACAAAUAAUCAGGCACUCCCAGUGCUGGGAGCUAAGUUCUGUUACAGGGAAGAGAAAGAAACAAUGGGAAUACCAAGGAGGAUAUUUACAGAGGGGGAAGGCUUUGAGCUGAAAUUGAACGGUGAAUAAAGGCUGAGCAGCCAUGUAGAGACGGGGUUCCACCGUGUUAGCCAGGAUGGUCUCGAUUUCCUGACCUCGUCAUCCUCCCGCCUUGGCCUCCCAAAGUGCUGGGAUUACAGGCUUGAGCCACCGCGCCCCGCUCUUUCGUGUUCCAAAGGCUUUUUAAAUAAACUUCCACUCCUGUCCUGGAUUCUGCUUUAUGGCCCUCAGUCGAAUUCUUUCUUCUGAGGAGGCAAGGACUGAAGUUGCUUCUGACCAGUACAGGAGAAAACGAAUACAGCAGGGAUGACUUCCACCAGCUCCACUUUGCAGCUCUGAGGUGUAUUAAAAAUGACCUGGAAGAAGUCAUGCCACGGGCCAGACCUUAACAUUCCUUUCGGCUUACCCCAGGAUUUCAGACAAAGCUUCACUUUCCUAACCAGUCACAAAUCAGAGAAUUUUUGAUUCCACCUAUGACCUGUGAGCUCCUGCUUCAAGAUAUUCCACCUUUUUUAGGCCAAACCAAUGUAUAACCUCCAAGUGUCGAUUUACACUUUCGACUGUAACUUCUGCUUUCCUGAGAUUUACCCCUGCCUUUAAAAACCCUUGCUUGUAAUCCCUCAGGGAGGCCGUGUAUUUAUUAAUCAUGAGCUGCCCAAUUCUCCUUGCUUGGUGCCCUGCAAAUAAACACCCUCUUUUCUCCCACUGCAAAACCUCAGUGUGGAUGUUUGGCUUUACUUCACCCCCAGGAAAGCAGACCCAGGUUUGACUCAGCAACAACAUCUGUUUCUAUUUUUCUCUGUAUAAAUAUUAAAAACCAUAAGUACAUGCUAUCUCCAAUUCCAAUAUAAACCCAUA
rnacentral:lncRNA from 10 species